rnacentral:lncRNA from 1 species
UAUAGAGUAAGGUAAACCACACAAAGAAAAGGAGGAAGAAGGGGAGGGAGAGGAGGAGGAGGAGGAGGAGGAGGAGGAGAGAGAAGAGGGAGGAGGAAGAAGGGAAGGAGAGGGAUAAGGGUUUGAAGAAGAGGUAGAGAGGGUAAUAGUAAUAGUAGUAUUUUACAGAAACAACCUUGAGAGGAAGAAGAGGUGGCAGGAGAGUUGAGUUUCUCUUUCACUUCUUCUUUAUCCUUCUGUUUCUCUUUCUCCAACUCUUUCUCUCUCUCCUCCUUUUUCCUUCUUUGUGCUUUCCUCUUCCUGGGACCUGAGGGCAUGGUAGGCGAUGAUGAUGAUGAUGAUGAUGAUGAUGAUGAUGAUAAGCUCUUGCUCUUCUUCAAUGAAAAACAAAGAGCUUUUGAGAAGCGUGGAAAAUAAUGGUGGAGGAGAAGGGAAGAUGAAGGGAUUAGUGGGGUAUCAGAACUGAAAGAGAGAGAUGGAUCGUUUUUUUGGGUUUGAGAGGAUGAUGAAAGAUUCGAUAUGCCUCCUCUCUCCGUGUUUUUUCUUCUGAUUUUGCUUUUAUUUUAUUUUUGUCAUCUGUUUUUCUGAUUUUUUUUUUUAUAAUAUGAAUUGUUUUGUUUUUUUUUUUGAGAGAGAGAGAUAAAUAACAUACUAUGCAGUUCAUUUAUUUUAUUUAAAAAUAAAUCUAAUUAAAAAUAUAAAUUAAUUAAAAUUUAAAUUUAAAAUUUUAGAUACUAAUCAAUAAAUUUUUGUCGGUUGCAAUAGAUACAAUCGAUCGAUUAAUAUGAAUUGUCGUUGUUUUUGAAAUUGGAUGGAUGCAGACUGAUGAUGGCGUUGGUGGGUCAGUUGGGAAAGGGGAACGGUGGGGAUCGGAGGGUUGGUAAAGUGACGAUUCAAACUCCAUUGGAGGGAACAAGUGCAUGAAUGCAUCUGAGCACCAUCCAUACAUCAGUUCUUUAAAAAAAAUAUUUUUCAAUGAAAAAGUAGGAAUCCGGCGUUUGUUUGCUCGUAAAAAAAAAUUUUCGCAAAAAAAUUUUACGAAUAGUAAAGAAAAAUUGUGUUUUCGUUUUCGCUCGAAGCAAGCGGAAAACGAAAAUUAUGGCCGCAAAAAAUGUGGCGUUGCGAGGGAGGGCGGCAGUGGGCACGCGGUCUUGUGGACCGAGGGAGAGAGGUCCACUCUCCCUUGUUCUCUUUUAUAUAUAUAUAUAUAUAUAUACUAGUUAAUGCACGUGCGCUGCACGUAUUAAUUUGCAUGUUAAAUAAAAAAUAUAUUAAAUUAUUUUAACAUUAAAUUAAAAAUUUAUGUAUAUAUAUUAAAUAAUAUUAAAUUUAUAUAAUAAUUAAAUAAAUAAUAUUUUUUUCACAACUAAAUAAAUAGUAUUUUUAUAUUAGAAGCCCUUGACUAAUUAAUAAUUAAUAAUUAUAUAAAGUUAUUAAAUUUGAUAAAUUUUUAAUAUAAGUAAAUAUAAAAUUUAAAUUUAAAAAAUAAUAAAAGUUGAGAAUCUCAGCAAAAAAAUAAAAACAUUAGAGAGGCCUAUUUAGAAAUGGGGUAAGAUCUCCCCAUGCAUUUUUACUAAAAGAAUAAAAUAAUAAAAAGUUGAGGAUGCUAUUUCAUAAUUGCUUAUAGUUGAAGGGAUAUCUAUAAUUUUUACAUUAAAAUGUAAAAAAAAUGCCUGCAGUAUGACGUGUAUAUAUCUUGUCCCUUCCUCUUGUGGUGAAGGUUGAGCAGUAGCCUUUUCUAUAGCUCGAUUAUCUAAUAUCAAGUUAACUAUGCGUUACAAAUAUUUUAUUAAAAUAAAAUAAAAUUAAGAAUUUAAAAAUCGUAGAAAAAUAAAUUGAAUUUUAUAAAACUAAAUUAAUAAAAAAUAUCAUAUUAUUAAAUUCUUAAUGGAUCUUAAUAAUAUUCUAAUCUAACUUUAGAAAACUAUAAGAAAAAUGUUUAUAGCACAAUAAACAGCGAUCUCAAUUUCAGUUUUUGCAAAUCAAUCAUUUAUUCUAUUUCUAUUUUUUAAUAUAUACAUAUUGGUAAAAAAAGAUGAUAAUUUAUUAUUUUAAUUUAAUUAAAUAAUAAACGACUUAAAAAAGAUAUCAACAAUAAGCUAAAUAUCAAUAUAUAUUAUAUAAGGUCAAAUAAUUUUUUUAUGUGAAACAAAGUCUUUAUAUAGUGAAUUCAUCACAAAUUAUAAAAUAAUUAUUGAAACUCAUCUCUCUAAAUAGUUAUAAAUUCAAACAUAUUACAUAUUGUAUAUAUUUUUAAUUUAUUUUCAUACAACCAACCUCUAAACAACCCACAUAGGUAUAAAGACAAAGAGCACUGUGAUUUUAAAAAGCAGAUACCAGUAUAGAUUAUUAUUAUUUUUUAUAAGAGAAUUUCAGAUAUAGAUGUCAAUAAUAUGCAAAAAAAGAAAUGUAAAAAUAAAUAAUUUAUUAAAUUCACACAAUAAAAAUUGAAAGCAAAAAAUCAAUCGAACAUAUAAUUGCACCAUAAGAAUAAAAUUUUCAAAUAUUUUAUAAGCCUCCACAAAAAUACCAUAUAUUUAGUAUAUAUAAUACAAUAAUUUAUAAUUCAGAUAAUAAAUUAAAACAAUAAAAAAAGAGAAAGAAAAAACUUAUGAUUCAAACUUAUACAUUUCUCCUGAUAAUCCCUUUCUCCUUCAUUUUAAAAUCCAGUUAAUAUCCGAUAUCCCGUAGUAACGAUACUUCUUCUCUUUUUUUUCAAGAAACAAAUUAUUAAAAAUAAGAAAAAAUUUGUAAAAAUUAAACCCAUUACUUUGUUUGUGGUAGAACAGAGAAUUAAAAAAAAAUGUCUAAAAAUAUUCUUUAGACAUGAAAAGGCAAUACAAUACAAUGUUUCAUGUCUUUAUUGCUUAAAGAUGAAUAUUAAUUGUAAGAAAUUCUAAAACUCCUUAUUAUAUGGAGAUAGGCUCUUCACUUCUCCUUUUCGUUAUUCAUAAAAGAAUGAUAAUAUUUUUUUCUUUCUCACUAUUAUUUGGAAGAUGAAAGAUUAGUUGUAAAUAAUUCUAAAAUUUUUCAUUUAUAGAUAGGCCUUUUACCUUUCCUCUUCGUUACUCAUACAAUUUAUAUUUAUUAAAUUUUCAAAUAAAUUAAUUGAAACAUCUUAAUUGAACCGUUAUUCCAUAAAAAUGAUUAAUUAUUUUUUUCUUCUCAUUUAUGUUUUUGAGAGAUGAAAGAUUAGAUGUAAAUAAUCUAAAAUUUUUCAUUUAUAGAUAGGUCCUUUUAACUUCCCUCUUCCGUUACUCAUAUAUUUAUAUUAUUAAAAUUAAAUAAAUGAAUUGAACAACUUAAAUUUUGAUUACAAUAAUAUUAUUGAAUAAUUACUAUUAAGAGUGAUUUAUGGCAUUAUAAAAAUAUUUUAUUUAUAGAUAGACUUUUCAGUUCCCCUCUUCCGUUCUCAUAAUUUAUAAUUUACUAAAUAUUCAAUAAAUUUAAUUGAACAACUUAAAUUGAAUUCACAAAAUAAUUAUGAUAACUACUAUAAGUGAUAUGUAGGUUAUUUUGUAAUUUAAAUGGAAUGAAAAAAAAGGGUGAGACGAAACCAACAAACAUAUUUGCUUAUAUAAUAAGAAUAUAUGAUAGCUGAGGUUAUACUUUAAGUAUAAAUCAUCUUGUACUCAUAUUUUAUUAAUUAAUUAUUUGAGAACCACGAGUAUAACUCCGGAAGGAGUGAGAAAACUUUCCAUAAAAAAGGUCUAUGGUUCGAAACAUAUAUAUUGGUCCGGCAUUUGGCUGAGUUGUUGGACAUCAUCCAUCAAUAAUUUCUAGAAGGGCGAGAGACUCACCAUGUUCCAAAGAUUGGAAUUUGGAUUUUAAAUUGUCACAAGGCCAGGGACGACAGCGGGCUACAUUUUCAAGCUGUCGCUUGAGUAAUAAGCACACGAUUGCAACAAUAUCUAUAUUUUUCUUUUAACUAUUCAAUGAUAUCGAGAAAAUUGAUCAGUAGACAUUGAAAGAGCAUUUGUUGCAUCCCCCGCCUACAGGAAUAUUACCUUUGCAUGCAGAAGCUCUCCUUUUUUUUUUUUUUCCCGAUCUGAAGAGAAAAGGUUAUAUAAUGUGAGAUUUAAUUUGUUGUUAGACGUGGCGGCAAGUGGGAAACAAUGGGAAUAAUUAUAACCACCAUGAUGAUGGUUAAAAAGUUAUUAGAAAGCCGCACUGCACCGCAAAUAAAUAUAAAUAUUUCAGACAAUUACAUAUAUAUAGCUAUUAAAAUUUUAAUAUUGAAAAAAUUAUAACUAAAGAAAUAUUUUUAAAAAAUAAGCUAUAAAAUAAUCUUACGUACAUUAUAAAAAACAAUUUUUUAUUAAUAUUUUCUUAAAUUUCAACAUUUAUAAAGUUAAAUUAUACUAAUAACUUUAUUCAAAAAGUUAAUCAAAUUUUUAGUUUUGAUAGUUAUUCUAUAAAUAAAUUUUUAAACUUAAAAAGUUAAAGUUAGAGGAUUUACUUCAAAUUGAAAAAAAGGUGAGGGUGACCUUUGCCUUGUUAAAAUUGAUGAAAGAAAGAAAACUAUUACAUACUCCUGGUGUAUAUUAGUAUAUCAGAUGAUUAAUGUUCUAAUAUAAAAAUUUAAAAAUAUAUAUAUAAUUCAUGAAGUUUAAUAAUUUAGAUUAUGUUUGAUGAAUUAAUUUUAAAAUCUCUAUUAAAGGAUUUUAGGUAUGUGGUACAUAUACAAAUAUAUACUUAGUCUAGAGAAUAUUUAAUAAAAAGCACUUAUAAUUCCAAAAGAGCGGAAAAUCUUUGCUUGCACCUGGUGCAUGCCAAUACUUCAUGCACUGCACAUAGUAUUAGAUGAUUAAUAAAAUAUUUGAUAAUUAAUAUUAUAAAAUAAAAUAUAUGAUAUAAUAUAUGUGUUACGAGUCGAAUUCCUUGGCCGUUGACUCGGUCAAAUGUCCUCCCUCAGAAAACGUGCGAGGAGUAGAGCGACUACUGACGAUAACCCUCAGCAGAAAUUAGAUGAAUGUUUGAGAUUGUACGGUAGUGGUCUUCCUACGUUGGCUCGGAACUUGGUGUAAUUUGAUCUGCUUGGAGCGCUCCUUGAUUUCUUAGACCAGCCUAAUCUUUCUUCUUAGGGUAAAUAUUUUGCAGAGACUUUAUCUGCUCAUAUUUCUUCCUUUUUAGCUCGGCAAUAAACACUUUCUACCGAGUAUCUAGCUUUAGACGAUCAUUCUUCGCGAGCCGACUCUCUCAAAACGAAGGCUACUGAAAUAGUAGUUCCAUUAACCGACCUCAACAAGUAAGAUGACCUUUUGAAAGAUCAAGAGUCAAUCCUUCGGCAGCACAUUACUAGUAAGGAUGUCAAUGGGUAUGGAUAUCCGAAAUUUUAUCCGAACCCGAACCCGAAUAAAACGGAUAUAUCCAAUGGAUAUGGACAUGGAUUUGGAUAUGGAUAUCAAAAAUAGAAACCCGACGGAUAUGGAUUUGGAUAUGGAUUUUGAUUGUACCCGAUCCGAACCCGAACCCGAAUUUAUUUUGUAUUAUAUAUAAUAUAUAUAUAAAAAUUUGAUGUUAUAUUUGAAUUUGUAUUUUAAAAAUUUAGAUUUAAUAUAAUAUAUUUUGAAAUAUUGAAAAAAGAAAUAAUUGUUUCGGCUUCAAAUUUUCGGGUUCGGGUUCGGGUUCGGGUUCGGGUUCGGGUUUUGGAUUUUUUGUCGGGUUCGGGUUUGGAUAUGGAUUUUUAAAAUCCGUCGGGUUCGGGUUUGGGCUCGGGUCUCGGGUUUGGAGUCGGGUUCGGAUUCGGGUUUUUAAAAAUCCGCCCCGAAUCCGACCCGUUGACANNNNNNNNNNNNNNNNNNNNNNNNNNNNNNNNNNNNNNNNNNNNNNNNNNNNNNNNNNNNNNNNNNNNNNNNNNNNNNNNNNNNNNNNNNNNNNNNNNNNNNNNNNNNNNNNNNNNNNNNNNNNNNNNNNNNNNNNNNNNNNNNNNNNNNNNNNNNNNNNNNNNNNNNNNNNNNNNNNNNNNNNNNNNNNNNNNNNNNNNNNNNNNNNNNNNNNNNNNNNNNNNNNNNNNNNNNNNNNNNNNNNNNNNNNNNNNNNNNNNNNNNNNNNNNNNNNNNNNNNNNNNNNNNNNNNNNNNNNNNNNNNNNNNNNNNNNNNNNNNNNNNNNNNNNNNNNNNNNNNNNNNNNNNNNNNNNNNNNNNNNNNNNNNNNNNNNNNNNNNNNNNNNNNNNNNNNNNNNNNNNNNNNNNNNNNNNNNNNNNNNNNNNNNNNNNNNNNNNNNNNNNNNNNNNNNNNNNNNNNNNNNNNNNNNNNNNNNNNNNNNNNNNNNNNNNNNNNNNNNNNNNNNNNNNNNNNNNNNNNNNNNNNNNNNNNNNNNNNNNNNNNNNNNNNNNNNNNNNNNNNNNNNNNNNNNNNNNNNNNNNNNNNNNNNNNNNNNNNNNNNNNNNNNNNNNNNNNNNNNNNNNNNNNNNNNNNNNNNNNNNNNNNNNNNNNNNNNNNNNNNNNNNNNNNNNNNNNNNNNNNNNNNNNNNNNNNNNNNNNNNNNNNNNNNNNNNNNNNNNNNNNNNNNNNNNNNNNNNNNNNNNNNNNNNNNNNNNNNNNNNNNNNNNNNNNNNNNNNNNCCCCGGCUCUCUAAACGUCACCGUUCGAUUCUUACAAUCGAUGGUGGCAAAAUACUUGGUCAACCAAUCCAUGCCCAACACAACAUUAAACUCCCCGAGUUUAUGCAAAGUUAGCAAGUCCACGGGCAUGAUCCAAUCUCCAACCCGAACAGGGCAACUGGGGCAGAACUCUCGAAUAUCUAGAGAAUGAUCGGGUACAACAACUCGUCCCGGAUGCAACAAAGAUACAAGUGGGAUGCCAUGCAACUCGGCAAACAGCCGGUCUAUGAAUGAAUGCGAUGCACCGGUAUCAAACAAAGCUCUAACUCGAAUACUAUGAAGUAAAAUGAUACCUGCGACCACAUUCUCGGCUGCCGCCGCCUCCUCAGUUUGGGCCGCGUACAUGCACCCGCUCGGGGCCUGUCGUGACCCCUCCACCUACCGCUGAACUGGCGGCCGUCCUGCCUGGUGAUGCGCAGAAGAUGUCCCCUGACUGGGACCUGGCGAUGCUGGUGCAGAUGCCGAAGAUGGCACUGACGCUGAACCUCUCGGGCAGUCUGACUAGAAGUGGCCCUCCUGGCCACACAAGAAACACUUGCCCCGGCUGCGUGAACACUGUCGUGGGUAGUGGGGACCACCACAGAUCACGCAACGGGGAGCCUGGCGAUGAUCGAGUCAUCCUCGCUGAGUAGACGAGCCACGUCUCCAUGACUGGCUCCGGCUCCUGGGGUGCCUCGGCUGCCUCCGUGAGUGCGUCUGACUCGCACCCUCAGCCGCGGGCCUCUUUCCCUUCCCUUUCUCUAAGCUCUCGUGACGCUCCUGCAAAUCCGCCGCUCCUGCCUCCACUAUCAAUGCUCGAUCCACAACCUCCCGGUAGGUCUGGAGGUUGGAGGACUGUACCAACCGAAAGAUAGAAGGCCGCAAUCCGCGCUAAAAAAUGCGGGCCUUAUACUCGUCAUCCCUCACAACAAACGGUACACAGUGAAGUAGCCGGGAGAAUUCCCUCUCAUACUCGGCCAGUGACCGCUCGUCCUGGCGCAAGCUGCGCAAAUCCCGCUCCAUCUUCCUCUUGACGCUGGUCGGAAAGUAGUGCGCGAGAAGGAGCUCCUUGAACCUCGUCCAAGUAAUCGCUCCCAAGUCGGUGUUGGGGUUGUCCUGGAUAUCCAACCACCAACGGUAGGCUUCGCCGUCGAGAAAGUGAGUGGCGAGCCAAACUCUAUCCCGCUCCUCCACAAAGGUGUCUCGAAAAAGCUUCUCCAUGUGCAUCAACCACUUCUCAACAAUCCAGUAGUCGACGUUCUCGCCAUCAAACGUCCUCGGGCAGCACCUCCUGAACUCACUGAGGCGAUCCAUGAGCCGAUCCCGCUCGGCUCCCUCGGCCCUCACGGGGAAAGCUGCCCCCGUGGCCGGUCUUUGAACUGGGGGUACCGCAGCCACCUCCUCCCGAGGUGUGGUCGCCGGCGCCGCACGGGAAGAACUGGGCGCGGGGGACUGCGCUCUCGGUGCGACGUCCACCACGGGUGCUAGCGGUGUGGGACCCUGGGUCUCCCUCGAAGCUCCCGCCUGCUGAAGUAGGAGGUCCUCCAGAUGCUUCAUCCGUGCCUCCUGUCGCUGAGCCACCUCAGCCUGUCGCUGCGCCGCUGCCGUCUGCUGCGCCAACAGAUCAGUGAGGACCGCAAGCUGGGUCCUUAAGUCACGGACCUCACUAGAUCCGGAAGUAGCGGAGGUCUCGACCUCCUCGGGGUGUGCCGCAUCAUCCGCCCCGGCAGACUGGGAGCGUGUAAUCGGCAUCGUCACUAUAAAACAUAAAAGCGCAAGUUAGUAACCCGCGCUACCGCAUCCCCGCUCAAGAAGAUAAAACCACAAAUCAUGCGAAAGUAAGGAAGUGUUCUUCACUACUAACUCCCGAUGUUACGUUGUCGGCCGCCAACGUAACCCUCCGCGAAGUUAGAAGCCACACACUCCGAUCGAACUCUAACUUUUUAGAGUUACCAUCAAACCUAAUCGAAAUACUUUCGCUCACAAGUCAAGUAGACCUCGUCUCUCACGAGCCUAAUUCCUAUAGUCCAACCUGCCUAAGGUUUGCUAGGUCCACUAAGACUCAACCCUAGUCUCUGAUACCAAAUUAAUCUGUCACGCCCCAGGAUCGGCGGAGGCCCUCCCGGUAGCGCGCCCAGACCCGCCAUAUGUCUACACAUAUAAGGCGUCUACAAUAAAAGCGGAAGUGAAAGCAAGGAAUACAACAACUAGGAAUGAAUAACAACUAAUGAUAUUAGAGCGAGUAAAAAUCUAUCUUCUAAACAAGAAUAAAGGAAACAUACUAAUCCAUAAAAGUAAAGCACAAGGUGAUACAAUACUAACUCCUCAAAAAAAAUACAUAAGUCCAAAAGGAGGGUGGUCUCUAUACAUAUACGGGUACAACUCUCAACCUCUCACAAAGUAAAACAACGAGAGGUAGACCACCUAUCGAAUCGUCCUCGAAGGAAGCUAGCUCGAAGCAACUCCCUUCCCGCGGUCCCUAGCCUCUCCCGGCGUGGAAGGCUCUGAAAAUAUCAAGAAAACAAGGGUGUGAGAACUAUAAUUUAUAGUUCCCAGUGGGCAAUUACUGACCUCAGCUCAAUGCACCACUAGGCCCAAAGAAAGGGUAAGUACAAUAGGCAAUAACAGUAAUGAUAACAGCAAUAAGAAAGCAUGAUGGAAUGCUAAGCUACUAUGCCUCAAGUAAACCUGAUGCAAGUAUGGUGUACAUCUACUCUAUCAUAAGCAAGUACGUCCAAUGUGUCCUACAUAAGGAAUAAGUUCUAUCAAGCAAGCAAGUAUACUAUGAUGCAAUAAGUGAAACAGGCAAGUAUACUAUAUAUCCCAAUGCUAUAUCAUGAGCAUGUCCAAGUAAUCCAACUACUAAACCUAUCUAGUAGUCAUUAUUCAUUCUCAACACUGUGUCGAUUUUCAUUUCCAAUUAGGGACCUACCAAAGGUAGUCCAGCUUGUGCCGCCUAAGUGCUUGUGGUAGCCCAACAUCCCUAUUCUUGGAAUGUGUCUAUUCCACUCGACCCCGUAGGCUUCUCAAUACCGCACGAGCGAAUAUAGGUCGCGUAGGCUAACUCCGGAGUGCCGGCUUGUAGGGAGCGACCCUCACAAGCAUGUGCGAAUGAGCACAAAUGGCAAACAAGCGUAGUCAAAGCUCAAGUAUCCAAUCCUCAUGUCUCUAACAUGGCAAAAGCUACUAGUAACCCAACGGUUUAGGUCUAUGUCACAAUGUAAUAACUCAACACUCACUUGCUUAGUGCCUCUUUAUGACACUUAUGCAUCACCACUAAUCAAGUUCAAUUCAUAUUCUAUGUUCCAAUUAGGACAUUAAUACCAAUGUUCACUAUAGCCCGGGGCCCAAUGCCUCUUUAUGACAUUGAUCCAAAAUCCCAAAUAGUCUAAGUCCCCAAGCCUUUCUAGGCUUCCAAAGCCCCUAAUGUCACAAUUAGGCAUAAAGGUUAAAUGCAUAAAAGUAAUGUUCAUUUUCAUAAUAGGAAUCAUGGUUCCAUGUCUCAACUAGAAUGCUAUAUCCCACAUGCAUGCACUCUACCACAUAGGGGUCCAAAGAAUUUACUAUACAUAACAUAUGCAUGUUAAGCAUUCUAAAAUUCAUAAUAAAUAUAUCUAACAUGAUUAUGCAUGCUUUUUCAAUUAACGAUACUCCAAACAUCACAAAUGAGAUUUUCUCAUUGUGUGACUAGGUCAAACCCACCGAACCGUCGCGGUGUCCCUCGAUUCGCCGAACGGAGUUGUCCACGAGUCUCAAAAUAUCCUAAAAGUAUUGAGUGAAGAGAUACACGGGCGUUACGAUCAACUAUAAGAUCAAACAUUAACAACCAAGGCCAAAGGGCUAAAACUCACCUAAUGAGUGAAAAAUCUCUCUCAAGCUCCAAAAAAAGGCUAGGAUCCUUCCAAAGCAACCUAAACCAAGGUUCUAAUCUCAUUAGAUUAGCUCAAAAAGCCUUCAAUCAAAAAGCCCCAAAUAAAUCCUAGAUUUUCCAUUCUAGGGUUUCAUCCCCCAAAAUCUACCAAAGAUAGGUCUAGAGGGAAGAAACAAACAACCAACCUCAAGAGAACUCCAAUCCAAGCUCCAAGGGUGAAGAUCUUCUCUCUUGCAAGCUUCAAGUCCAAGCUCCAAGCACCAAGGAAGAAGAGAGGGUGAGGAAGAUGCUCCAAGUCCACUAGUUGCUCUCAAUCUUCUUCUUCUUCCUUCCUUCUUCUCCUUCUCCUUCUUCUUCUUCUUCUCUACCAAGGGUGUAGAGAGAGUUGAGAGAAAAGAAAUGAGGAGAAGAGAGAGUGGAUGGGUCAUAUAGACCAUCUAUUGCAACAAAAUCCAGCUAGGUCCCUCAAAAAUCCAAAAUUGCAUCAGCCCGGUCUGGGCAAUUUUCGCCCAGAGGGACCGGUCUCUCCCUGCAAGGGACCGGUCUCUCGUGUCGAACCCGAGAAACCAUCGUUCGGGAACCGGUCUCUCCCCGCGCGGGACCGGUCUCUCAGUGCGUAGACGCGCUCGGGGACCGGUCUCUCCUGCCAGGGACCGGUUGCCUCGCCGGCGGUCCCCGAGAGUAAAAACUCUCAGGACUCGUCCAGAACUCAGGUUUUCGAACUUUUUAGGUCGGCAAACAUUCUACGACCCUCCACCAAGUGUGGAAAAGCUCGAAACACAUCCAAUCACUCGAACCUCGCAAUUUGCAAAGGUCCAGUGUGUUACAUUCACCCCUCCUAAAAAGGAGUUUCGUCCGCGAAACUCAAAAGCAAAGUACCUCAAGCCUCCAUCUGAAAAAGAUGGGGAUAGCGCUCCCAGAGUGCGCUCUCCAACUACCAGGUGGCCUCGCGCUCGUCGUGGUUGCUCCACAGCACCUUCACGUAGGGAAUCUCACGGUUCCGCAAUCUUUUCACCUCGCGAGCCAAAAUCCUCAACGGCUGCUCCUCGAAGCUCAAAUCAUCCCUCAGCUCCAUAGGCGUAGCGUCCAACACGUGAGCCGGAUCGUGGAUGUACUUCCGAAGGACCGAUACAUGGAAUACAUUGUGUACACCCGAUAGGUUUGGCGGUAGAGCAAGUCGAUACGCUACCGGGCCUACACGCUCCAAAACCUCAAACGGUCCAAUGAAUCGGGGGCUCAACUUGCCCCGGAUUCCAAAUCUUCUAAUUCCUUUGGUCGGCGAGACUUUCAAGAACACAUGGUCUCCAAUCUGAAACUCCAAGUCUCGUCGACGCCGAUCAGCAUAACUCCUCUGCCUACUCUGGGCUGUCAACAAUCGCUCCCGAGCAAUGCGAACCUUGUCCUCUGCUUCCUGGAGCACAUCUGGGCCUAAAGCCAAUCUCUCGCCAACUUCACUCCAAUGAAGUGGCGAUCUACACUUCCGUCCAUAGAGUGCCUCGAACGGUGCCAUCUUGAUGCUUGCUUGAUAACUGUUGUUAUAAGCAAACUCUGCCAUCGGUAGAUGCUGCGACCAUCCUCCCUGGAAGUCAAUCACGCAGGCUCGAAGCAUGUCCUCGAGAGUCUGUAUAGUACGCUCCGACUGCCCGUCACUCUGAGGGUGGAAAGCUGUACUGAAGUCCAAACGCGUACCCAGAGCGUCCUGUAAGCUCCUCCAAAAGUGGGAUACAAAACGGGGGUCUCGAUCUGAUACUAUAGAAGUAGGUACCCCGUGCAAUCGCACAAUCUCAUCCAAAUAGACCUGUGCGAGUCUCUCACCAGUCCAAGUAGUGUGGAUAGGUAUGAAAUGUGCUGAUUUCGUCAAUCUAUCCACGAUCACCCAAAUAGCGUUAUGCCCGACCUGUGAGCGAGACAAUCCCAUCACGAAAUCCAUAGUGAUCUUUUCCCAUUUCCAUACCGGAAUCGGUAAGCUCUGCAGUUUCCCCGCGGGAACUCGGUGCUCAGCUUUCACCUGUUGGCAAGUUAAACAUCUAGCAACAAACUCACCAACAUCCUUUUUCAUUCCGGGCCACCAAUAAAGUAAUUUCAAAUCCUUGUACAUCUUGGUGCCUCCCGGAUGUAUAGCAUACGGUGCUCGGUGUGCUUCUUGAAGAAUGUCCUCUUUAAUGCCCAAGUCUGCCGGUACACAAAGUCGUCCGCGAAAACGGAUCAAUCCAUCACUGUCUGUAGUGAAAUCACCAGUGCAACCAUCAACUAUCUUAGCUCAAAUCCUUUGCAACUCCGAGUUGGAAGCUUGCUUUUCUUUAAUCCUUUCUAUAAGUGUAGGUUACACCACCAAAGUCAUCAGCCUCAAAGGUUUAUCAGGAGCCACCACCUCAAACUCCAACCACUUUAUCUGCUCGAUCAACGGCGGUUGAGUAACCAUGAGCAUCACUAAGUUUUUCUUCGAUUUCCGACUUAGCGCAUCCGCGACCACGUUAGCCUUGCCUGGGUGGUAAAGAAUAGUCAAGUCGUAAUCCUUGAGCAGCUCCAACCAUCUGCGCUGCCUCAGGUUCAACUCCUUCUGAGUGAACAAAUACUUUAAGCUCUUGUGAUCCGUAUAUACUUCGCAUCGCUCGCCGUAUAAGUAAUGGCGCCAUAGCUUCAAUGCAAAAACCACGGCCGCCAACUCCAAGUCGUGAGUAGGGUAAUUCCUCUCAUAAUACUUUAGUUGGCGAGAAGCAUACGCGAUCACCUUCCCGUCCUGCAUCAAAACACAUCCAAACCCAUUAAAGGAAGCAUCGCUAUAAAUCACAUACCCUGCUCCAGCAGUCGGCAGGGUUAGGAUCGGGGCGGUUGUUAAUCUCUGCUUCAACUCUUGGAAACUUCUUUCACACACAUCAUUCCAUAUAAACUUGGUGCCUUUGUGCGUGAGCCUCAUGAGGGGAGUAGAUAACUUAGCAAAUCCCUCGACGAACCGUCGGUAGUAGCCGGCUAAACCAAAGAAGCUCCGUAUCUCUGCCACACUCGUCGGCCUCGGCCAAUCCUUGAUAGCUUCAAUUUUCCUCGGGUCCACGGCUAUGCCUGAUCGUGAAAUCACAUGGCCCAAAAACGCCACCUCUCUAAGCCAAAACUCACACUUUUUCAACUUGGCAUAGAGCUUCUUUUCCCGAAGCACUUGAAGUACAAGUCUCAAGUGUUCCUCGUGAUCCGCAUCACUUCGGGAAUAGACCAAAAUGUCGUCGAUGAACACCACGACAAACCUGUCUAAAUAAGGCUUGAAAAUACGGUUCAUUAAAUCCAUAAAAGCUGCCAGAAUAUUAGUAAGCCCAAACGGCAUAACGGUAAACUCAUAAUGUCCAUACCGUGUUCUAAAAGCCGUCUUCGANNNNNNNNNNNNNNNNNNNNAUAUAUAUAUAUAUAUAUUCAUAUGUACCUGGGUUACGUACGGUUCCUUUGACAGUGUAGCCCCUCUCCAAGAGGAGCUUGACGAGCCACGAUGCGAUGAAGCCCCCCGCGCCGGUGACGCACACGGUUCGGCCGUUUCCGGGGGCCGCUAAAGCCGUCGUGUCGUCGACGGUCAUGUCGUUUGAAGAUCUACCAAUUGAGAGCAAUUAAUUACCAAAAAAAAAAAAAAGAAAGAAGAAGAAGUUUUAGAAGAGAAGGGUUAUUGCUUUGGUGGGAAACUAUGGUGGUGUAGUUGGAGAAAAAGGGAGAAGGGGAGGUGGUGUAUAUAUAAUAAGAAAAAGAAAGGUGGUGGGGCGUGUAGUGUAUAUCUAGAAGGUGAAAGUGAACACUACCUGUUUGGAUUCUCCCGAAUUUUAUAGCAGCAGAGUAUUUUUUUUUUAUUUUGUACAAGCCAAUAUUGACAUCUGUAUAAAAGUGUGUGGAUGUUUUUCUAAAAAAAUGUCAAAAUGUAACAAAAAUAUCAUAAAAUACAAUAAACUUUUUGAAAAUAAAAAGAGCUCACAAUUAUAUAUGUUUUAUAAUUUUUUACUAUCAAAAUUUACCAAACUCAUAUUGCCCUUUCACAUAAGCACGGAAUGUUCUAGUAAUAAUAAUUAGUUUACGUAUUUUUAGUCGGGGGUUUAGAUACAAUAAGUUAUUAAUAAUUAUCUAUUAGAACAUUAAAUAUAUUAUAAGACAUUAUUAUACUACUAAAAAAUUUUAAUUUACUCAAAUAGAAGAUGGGAAAAGGGGGUAAGUAGGUAGCAUGGUUGAUUAAAUUUUGAUUUAUUCAAAUAGUGGGGCCCACUGUAAAAAUUGGAAAGAUUUUGAAGUUGUGGAUAUGGAAGCUAAAGAUUUGCAAGGUGAAGGAAAAAUAAGAAAUAAAAAAAUAAUAAAAAAAAAAGCAACAAUGCGCGGCAAUUUAUCAACCAGAGGAAAAUGCUUUAAUUUCAAAAAAGCGGGCACAAGGUGCAUCAUAUAUUUCGUGCGCCACAUCAUGGUUGGCAUUAAUUUUACAUCUACCCAUCUAACAGGUGUCAUUCUGUACUAAUUUUAUUAUUAUUUUUUAAUUAAAAAUUUAUUUAAUAUUUUAUGAAUCAUAGAGAGAGAGAGCUAGAGAGUCGGAAUCACCGUUAGAUUUAACCAUUUUAUUAUUUUUAUCCGUUAGAUUAUACUAUUCAACCAACAACUCACUCAACUCUAGGGUACCCAUAUUAUUCUAACCGUACAUUUCUUCAUCCAAAGGCCAAAAACCUAAUAGCACCAAUAACUUGGUGCUAUUAAUAACAUUCCGGCCUAUAUAUAUAUAUAUAUAUAUAUAGAGUGAGGCUACUAUGCUUCUGGAAGCACAGAGCCUUCCGUACUUCCAGGUCGUUUUUUAUGUUGCGACUUUCGAAUCGUCGAUCGGCUCAGUUAAACUUGAUCUAGAGUAUUUGAAGUACCUAGAAAAUAAAUUUUGCGAUUUUUCGAUAUUAUUUGCCUAGUGAACGAAGGGGGUUCAAAAUCAACGGGUGAAAAUAAAAAUCUUACAAAACGUGACAAUAUGACAUUAAAAUUUUAAAUCAAAGAUAUUGAUUUUGUUUUAUAUAGUAUAAAGAAUUUUCUAUCAAAAUUUCACGUGAUUUGGAUAUUUCUAUACCGUUAAACUUGCAAACGGCUCACUACGGCCAUUAAAAAUUAUUGAUUUUGAGCCCCUUCGAUCACUAGGCAAAUGAUAUCAAAAAAUCAUAAAAUUUAUUUUCUAGGUACUUCAAAUACUCUAUAUCAAGUUUAACGGAGCCGAUCGACGAUUCAAAAAUCGCAACAUCGAAAACAACCUGGAAGCAUGGAAGGCACCGUGCUUCCAAAAGCAUAAUAGCCUCACACUAUAUAUAUAUACUAGUGUAGUUACCCGCACAAUGCAGCGGGCAGAUAUUAUCGAAAUAAUUUUUAUAUUAUUAUUGAUCAUCGAUGAUAGUUUGAAAUUAUACAUAUACAAAAAAAAUACGGGGAGAAAAUGAAGAAAGAAAUAAAAAGAAGAGUAGAAAAGAGAAACGACAAAAAAUGUCAGAGUUAUACAUUUAUAUAUCUAUAUAUGUAGUAUAAGACCCGCGUUUCACGGCAGUUAAAUAAAAUUUUAGCCAGUCAAGACAUAUA